rnacentral:rRNA from 1 species
GAGGCGGUGCGGGUGCUAUACAUGCAAGUCGAACGAACUUCCGUUAAUUGAUUAUGACGUACUUGUACUGAUUGAGAUUUUAACACGAAGUGAGUGGCGAACGGGUGAGUAACACGUGGGUAACCUGCCCAGAAGUAGGGGAUAACACCUGGAAACAGAUGCUAAUACCGUAUAACAGAGAAAACCGCAUGGUUUUCUUUUAAAAGAUGGCUCUGCUAUCACUUCUGGAUGGACCCGCGGCGUAUUAGCUAGUUGGUGAGGUAAAGGCUCACCAAGGCAGUGAUACGUAGCCGACCUGAGAGGGUAAUCGGCCACAUUGGGACUGAGACACGGCCCAGACUCCUACGGGAGGCAGCAGUAGGGAAUCUUCCACAAUGGACGCAAGUCUGAUGGAGCAACGCCGCGUGAGUGAAGAAGGGUUUCGGCUCGUAAAGCUCUGUUGUUAAAGAAGAACGUGGGUAAGAGUAACUGUUUACCCAGUGACGGUAUUUAACCAGAAAGCCACGGCUAACUACGUGCCAGCAGCCGCGGUAAUACGUAGGUGGCAAGCGUUAUCCGGAUUUAUUGGGCGUAAAGCGAGCGCAGGCGGUCUUUUAAGUCUAAUGUGAAAGCCUUCGGCUCAACCGAAGAAGUGCAUUGGAUACUGGGAGACUUGAGUGCAGAAGAGGACAGUGGAACUCCAUGUGUAGCGGUGAAAUGCGAAGACAUAUGGAAAAACAUCAGUGACGAAUGUGGCUGUUUGGUCUGCUA